rnacentral:rRNA from 1 species
AGUUUGAUCAUGGCUCAGCCUGAACGCUGGCGGCGUGGCUAAGACAUGCAAGUCGUACGGGUGUAGCAAUACACCAGUGGCGAACGGGUGAGUAAUGUAUCGCUAAUGUACCCCGACGUCUGAGAUAGCCAUCCGAAAGGAUGGGUAAUAUCAGAUUACAUCACGAGGAGGCAUCUUCUUGUGAUCAAAGGUUUUCCGCAUCGGGAGCAGGCGAUAUCGUAUCAGGUAGUUGGUAGGGUAACGGCCUACCAAGCCGACGACGCGUAGCUGGUCUGAGAGGACGGCCAGCCACAUUGGGACUGAGACACUGCCCAGACUCCUACGGGGGGCUGCAGUAACGAAUCUUCCACAAUGCACGAAAGUGUGAUGGAGCGACGCCGCGUGUGGGAUGAAGUUCUUCGGAAUGUAAACCACUGUCAGGAGAUACCAAGUUCUGAGGAUCUCCAGAGGAAGGCACGGCUAACUCUGUGCCAGCAGCCGCGGUAAGACAGAGGUGCCAAGCGUUAGGCGGAAUCACUGGGCUUAAAGCGCGUGUAGGCGGAUGCCUAAGUAUCUUGUGAAAUCCCACCGCUCAACGGUGGAACUGCUUGAUAUACUGGGUGUCUCGAACAAUCUAGGGGCAACUGGAACAAACGGUGGAGCGGUGAAAUGCGUAGAUAUCGUUUGGAACGCCUGUGGUGAAAAACGGGUUGCUGGGGGAUUUGUUGACGCUGAGACGCGAAAGCUAGGGGAGCGAACGGGAUUAGAUACCCCGGUAGUCCUAGCCCUAAACGAUGUCCACUAGAUCGUGGCACUUUCACGGUGUCACGGUCGAAGCAAAAGUGCUAAGUGGACCGCCUGGGAAGUACGGUCGCAAGGCUAAAACUCAAAGAAAUUGACGGGGGCUCACACAAGCGGUGGAGCAUGUGGUUUAAUUCGAAGCAACGCGCAGAACCUUACCUGGGCUUGACAUGCAUGGAUUAUCUCUAUGAAAGUAGAGUAGGCCCCUCUGGGGUACAACAUGUACAGGUGCUGCAUGGCUGUCGUCAGCUCGUGUCGUGAGAUGUCGGGUUAAGUCCCUUAACGAGCGAAACCUUUGCCCUUAGUUACCAUCGGGUUAUGCCGGGGACUCUAAGGGGACUGCCGGUGUCAAACCGGAGGAAGGUGGAGAUGACGUCAAGUCCUCAUGGCCUUUAUGCCCAGGGCCACACACGUGCUACAAUGGCGGGCACAGAGCGAACCAAGAGCGCAAGCUGGUGGAAAUCGCAGAAAUCCCGCCCCAGUUCAGAUCGGAGGCUGCAACUCGCCUCCGUGAAGUUGGAAUCGCUAGUAAUCGCGGAUCAGCUACGCCGCGGUGAAUGUGUUCCUGAGCCUUGUACACACCGCCCGUCAAGUCAUGGGAGCCGGAAAUAGCCGAAGUAGCCUCGUCACAGAGGUUCCUACGCUAGGUUCGGUGACUGGGACUAAGUCGUAACAAGGUAAC